GCCUCGGUAGUUUAAUGGCUCAGGACGCUCUUACGGAAUACAAGAGAUCCGGGUUCGACUCCCGGCCGAGGUA
rfam:Trachymyrmex zeteki contig5033, whole genome shotgun sequence.